rnacentral:tmRNA from 1 species
GGGGAUGUUUUGGUUUUGACAGCAUCGAUGUCGGAUGGUAAGCACGCCGGGCGCUGUGGGCCUGCCCGUUAAUCACGACCUUCAAACAAUUAGUUGGCAACAACAAUUAUGCACUCGCUGCCUAAUUUGACCAAGUCAAUUAGCUUAAUCUGCGCCGCCUAGGCUGCGGCGCCGACGAGUAUCCCUCGGACUUUAGGCCGGUUCUGUUCCGAAUCAGGGGUAUCAUUCAAACCGGAUGCACAGGGGGACUCCUUUAAACCCUGCCAAGACACAAAGGAUAAGGGUCAGUUAGCCCGUCUUCCGGCAGGCUCUCCCCGACAACCAAAGGAAGAAUAAGCGUGUAGAAAGCCCUCUGGUGCGUUGUUUGGACGGCGGUUCGAGUCCGCCCAUCUCCAC